rnacentral:rRNA from 1 species
AGUGAACGCUGGCGGUAGGCCUAACACAUGCAAGUCGAACGGCAGCACGGUAAGAGCUUGCUCUUACGGGUGGCGAGUGGCGGACGGGUGAGGAAUACAUCGGAAUCUACUUUUUCGUGGGGGAUAACGUAGGGAAACUUACGCUAAUACCGCAUACGACCUACGGGUAAAAGCAGGGGAUCUUCGGACCUUGCGCGAUUGAAUGAGCCGAUGUCGGAUUAGCUAGUUGGCGGGGUAAAGGCCCACCAAGGCGACGAUCCGUAGCUGGUCUGAGAGGAUGAUCAGCCACACUGGAACUGAGACACGGUCCAGACUCCUACGGGAGGCAGCAGUGGGGAAUAUUGGACAAUGGGCGCAAGCCUGAUCCAGCCAUACCGCGUGGGUGAAGAAGGCCUUCGGGUUGUAAAGCCCUUUUGUUGGGAAAGAAAAGCAGCAGGUUAAUACCCCGCUGUUCUGACGGUACCCAAAGAAUAAGCACCGGCUAACUUCGUG